rnacentral:rRNA from 1 species
GACCUCGGAUCAGGUAGGGAUACACGG